rnacentral:rRNA from 1 species
AAUAGAUACCCUGGUAGUCCACGCCCUAAACUAUGUCGACUGGUUGUUGGGGGAGCCUGUCCCUCAGUAACGUAGCUAACGCGUGAAGUCGACCGCCUGGGGAGUACGGUCGCAAGAUUAAAACUCAAAGGAAUUGACGGGGACCCGCACAAGCGGUGGAUUAUGUGGAUUAAUUCAAUGCAACGCGAAGAACCUUACCUACCCUUGACAUGCCAGGAACCUCGCAGAGAUGUGAGGGUGCCCGAAAGGGAACCUGGACACAGGUGCUGCAUGGCUGUCGUCAGCUCGUGUCGUGAGAUGUUGGGUUAAGUCCCGCAACGAGCGCAACCCUUGCCAUUAGUUGCUACAUUCAGUUGGGCACUCUAAUGGGACUGCCGGUGACAAACCGGAGGAAGGUGGGGAUGACGUCAAGUCCUCAUGGCCCUUAUGGGUAGGGCUUCACACGUAAUACAAUGGCGCAUACAGAGGGCUGCAAACCCGCGAGGGGGAGCCAAUCCCAAAAAAGUGCGUCGUAGUCCGGAUUGUUCUCUGCAA